rnacentral:rRNA from 1 species
AUACGUAGGGUGCAAGCGUUAAUCGGAAUUACUGGGCGUAAAGCGUGCGCAGGCGGUUUUGUAAGACAGAGGUGAAAUCCCCGGGCUCAACCUGGGAACUGCCUUUGUGACUGCAAGGCUAGAGUACGGCAGAGGGGGAUGGAAUUCCGCGUGUAGCAGUGAAAUGCGUAGAUAUGCGGAGGAACACCGAUGGCGAAGGCAAUCCCCUGGGCCUGUACUGACGCUCAUGCACGAAAGCGUGGGGAGCAAACAGGAUUAGAAACCCUGGUAGUCCACGCCCUAAACGAUGUCAACUGGUUGUUGGGUCUUCAUUGACUCAGUAACGAAGCUAACGCGUGAAGUGGACCGCCUGGGGAGUACGGCCGCAAGGUUGAAACUCAAAGGAAUUGACGGGG